rnacentral:rRNA from 1 species
GACGAACGCUGGCGGCGUGCUUAACACAUGCAAGUCGAACGCUGAAGCUCAGCUUUUGUUGGGUGGAUGAGUGGCGAACGGGUGAGUAACACGUGAGUAACCUGCCCCCUUCUUUGGGAUAACGCCCGGAAACGGGUGCUAAUACUGGAUAUUCACUGGUCUUCGCAUGGGGGUUGGUGGAAAGGGUUUUUCUGGUGGGGGAUGGGCUCGCGGCCUAUCAGCUUGUUGGUGGGGUGAUGGCCUACCAAGGCUUUGACGGGUAGCCGGCCUGAGAGGGUGACCGGUCACAUUGGGACUGAGAUACGGCCCAGACUCCUACGGGAGGCAGCAGUGGGGAAUAUUGCACAAUGGGCGCAAGCCUGAUGCAGCGACGCCGCGUGAGGGAUGGGGGCCUUCGGGUUGUGAACCUCUUUCGCUCAUGGUCAAGCCGCAACAAUGGUUGUGGUGAGGGUAGUGGGUAAAGAAGCGCCGGCUAACUACGCG